GAGUAUGUAACUCAGGGGAUAGAGUAUCAGAUUCCGAUUCUGACGGUCGAGGGUUCGAGUCCCUCCAUACUCA
rnacentral:tRNA from 2 species